UACAGAGGUCCCGAGCGUUGUUCGGAUUCAUUGGGCGUAAAGGGUGCGUAGGCGGCGGGGAAAGUCUGAUGUGAAAUCCUGGGGCUCAACCCUGGAACUGCAUUGGAUACUUCCUUGCUAGAGUACUGGAGAGGAAACUGGAAUUUACGGGUGUAGCAGUGAAAUGCGUAGAGAUCGUAAGGAAGACCAGUGGCGAAGGCGAGUUUCUGGACAGUUACUGACGCUGAGGCACGAAGGCCAGGGGAGCAAACGGG
rnacentral:rRNA from 1 species